rnacentral:rRNA from 1 species
UACGUAGGGACCAAGCGUUGUUCGGAUUUACUGGGCGUAAAGGGCGCGUAGGCGGCGUGACAAGUCACUUGUGAAAUCUCUGGGCUUAACCCAGAACGGCCAAGUGAAACUGUUGUGCUAGAGUGCAGAAGGGGCAAUCGGAAUUCUCGGUGUAGCGGUGAAAUGCGUAGAUAUCGAGAGGAACACCAGAGGUGAAGACGGGUUGCUGGGCUGACACUGACGCUUAGGCGCGAAAGCCAGGGGAGCAAACGGG